rnacentral:rRNA from 1 species
ACACGACUACAUUAGAUACCCCCGUAGUCCUAGCCGUAAACGAUACUCGCUAGGUGUCGGCCACGGUGCGACCGUUGUCGGUGCCGUAGGGAAGCCGUGAAGCGAGCCACCUGGGAAGUACGGCCGCAAGGCUGAAACUUAAAGGAAUUGGCGGGGGAGCACAACAACGGGUGGAGCUUGCGGUUUAAUUGGAUUCAACGCCGGAAAUCUUACCGGGACCGACAGCAACAUGGAGGCCAAGCUGAAGACUUUGCCGGAUUAGCUG